AGUCACUGACAUUAGACUACCCGUGUAGUCCAGGGUGUAAACGCUGCAGACUUGGUGUUGGAAAUCCUUCGAGAGUAUUCAGUGCCGGAGAGAAGUUGUUAAGUCUGCUACUUGGGAGUACGUCCGCAAGGAUGAAACUUAAAGGAAUUGGCGGGGGAGCACCGCAACGGGAGGAGCGUGCGGUUUAAUUGGAUUCAACACCGGAAAACUCACCAGGGGAGACUGUUACAUGAAACCCAGACUAAUGAUCUUGGUUGAUUUUCAG
rnacentral:rRNA from 1 species